rnacentral:rRNA from 1 species
AUUGAACGCUGGCGGCAGGCCUAACACAUGCAAGUCGAACGAGUGGCGGACGGGUGAGUAAUGUCUGGGAAACUGCCUGAUGGCGGGGGAUAACUACUGGAAACGGUAGCUAAUACCGCAUACCAUCAGAUGUGCCCAGCGGGGAUUAGCUUGUUGGUGGGGUAACGGGUCACCAAGGCUACGAUCCCUAGCUGGGCUGCGAGGAUGACCAGCCAAACUGGAACUGGGACACGGGCCAGACUCCUACGGGAGGCAGCAGUGGGGAAUAUUGCACAAUGGGCGCAAGCCUGAUGCAGCCAUGCCGCGUGUAUGAAGAAGGCCUUCGGGUUGUAAAGUACUUGCAGCGGGGAGGCGUUACCCGCAGAAGAAGCACCGGCUAACUCCGUGCCAGCCGCCGCGGUAAUAC